UACGUAGGCAGCGAGCGUUGUUCGGAAUUACUGGGCGUAAAGGGCGCGUAGGCGGCCUGCUAAGUCGAACGUGAAAUCCCCGGGCUCAACCCGGGAACUGCGUCCGAUACUGACAGGCUCGAAUCCGGGAGAGGGAUGUGGAAUUCCAGGUGUAGCGGUGAAAUGCGUAGAUAUCUGGAGGAACACCGGUGGCGAAGGCGGCAUCCUGGACCGGCAUUGACGCUGAGGCGCGAAAGCCAGGGGAGCAAACGGG
rnacentral:rRNA from 1 species